rnacentral:lncRNA from 1 species
AUUGCUAAGCUGGCCCAGGCGGCUGGGUUCUGUCGUGGGUUGGGUUUCAGAGACGCGAGUGCAGGAUCCCCAAGGCUCCUUAGGAAAGGAAACUGGGCUUCGGAAACGGUCAGAGAAAGCGUCGGCUGGCCCCGCACGGUCAAAGAAGCCCCGGGGACAACUUGCCGCCCACGAUGAGAGGUGUUGGCGCGGCUUCCGGCUGAGAAAUCCUGACCGAGAUGACUCCACUUGCCUAGGAGGAAUUCUCCCAGCGGGACUCGAACCCGGGUCUUCCACGCGAGCCACCUACGCGGCUCGCGUGGGCUUCCUUGUUCUGGCGCGGGAAGCACGACGGUCGAUUGCAGAGGCGGACAGUCUGUAGGCGUACCCAAAAUCCCAGGCCCAACCCCAGAGAACUCAAGGGGAAAAACGGAAGAAAACAAGAAAGAAAGAAAGAAAGAAAGAAAGAAAGAAAGAAACAGACCAGCAGGGACAGAAGUGGGUCCUGGAUGCUGCAAGAAAGAAGGGGAUGCCCACACAGAAGACCAGGAGGCAGUAGUCACGAGUUCACUCGAAGGUUCUUGUGCGGGGACAAUAUCCUUCUAGGCAUGACCUUAUUUAUUUCGCAUGACCUCGGUUUGAUGAGAACAUCCAGCCGGAAUAAACAUGAUGGGGCCAUGGCAAAGACUGGGGCCCCGUUCUUUUUAAUGCGGGAAUCCAACAAGUCCACUUUACACCUGGAGACUAGUAUCAUCAGAUUCUUGGAGAAAGCCUAAUAUUAAUACCCAGAAACCCCGCAAAAGAUUGGGAGGGGGUAUUUCAAAAUCUUACCCAUGGCUUACAAGUUCAGAACAGUUACACACUUAACAGACUCAGCUGGUUUACUGUG